rnacentral:rRNA from 1 species
UACGAAGGGGGCUAGCGUUGCUCGGAAUGACUGGGCGUAAAGGGCGCGUAGGCGGUGCCACAAGUCACCUGUGAAAUCUCCGGGCUUAACUCGGAGCCUGCAGGCGAAACUGUGGUGCUGGAGUGUGGGAGAGGUGCGUGGAAUUCCCGGUGUGAGCGGUGAAAUGCGUAGAUAUCGGGGAGGAACACCUGUGGCGAAAGCGGCGCACUGGACCAUAACUGACGCUGAUGCGCGAAAGCUAGGGGAGCAAACAGG